rnacentral:misc_RNA from 1 species
GUCUCUCUUUUUCGAUACUUCAACGCUAUAUUUAUUGGCCGGGGCUCGAUUGAUGAUAAGAGUUAUCGUGCUUAUCUUGCUCGGCUGCGAAUAAAGAUUAUGAAAAAGGUACUUUUUUUAUUAGAAUGAACGAUAUUCUCGUCGUCGUGACGGACGCGAGAAGGUCUCAGUUCUCGAGCGCUCCCAUUACAACGCGAAAAUGUCACGAAUCGAAGUUUCCACGAUUUCCGAAGAGUACGGAAAUUUGACGGAGCAAAGAACGUCCGACACGUAUUUCGAUACGAUUCAGUUGCCAGUGUUCGAUCAACCCUACGCCAUAACCUCGCAGCCACGAAUCGAUCUCAAUAGACCUCAGCGAAGGCCAAUUCCGGUAAACACAACCGACUGGAUUUCGACACCGCGAUCACUUUUUAGUCCUGCAUGCAGCACCCUCUUCCUUUCCGGGGUAAAACAACUCGAGAUUCAACAAACGGUGGAUCUUGUAUCACUUUCAGGGGAUGAAGUAAAUAGCGAUGUUUACAAAUAUCGCGUCAAAGUACCGGGAGCGGAAACACUCUUUCUUGCUACGGAACACAACGGUGGCCGGAUAAUCGGCUCGUCGAGAGGCUUCAUCGUCGAUUUGAAGGACGCGACGGGACAAACAGCGUUCACCUUCAAAAAGAGCAGAUCUUGGGGCUGUGUGCCGGGAUUUUUGCACAAAUUAACCGUUCAAGGAACCGAUUAUGUCGGAACUAUAGAGCAAGAUUUCACACUUUGGGCGCCAAGAUACACUGUUUAUAACGCAGAUCAUGAGCCCCUUUGUCUUAUUUACUCACCACAUACGUUCUGCACUUGCAAUUACAAAGAAGAACGUUUUCAGGUGUCUUCGAUAGACGGCUGUCGACCUUUGGCCUCCAUAGUUCUGCAAUGGGAUCUCGAAGUAAUGGAUUACUACAUCACAUUGACGGUUCCCUUGGACAUGGACGUGAAGCUCAAAAGCCUUUUACUCGGGGCUGCAUUUCUCAUGGAAUCGUUGUACUUCGAAAGACUCAGAAAUUCUCCAUCGCGAUAGCAUUUGAGCAAAAAAUAUUCAGCGAUUGGAGCUAUGACACGCCGAUCGGAUUUCAAUGGAAAGAUCCAUUUUACGUUGCUUUAAUCAAACUUUAUGAGAAAAAGAUAAACAUUUUUAUUGAAUAUUGCUUCGUUUUGGCUUCCAAAUGUUUCAUGAACGUUUUUUUUCAUAUUUAUGAUUCACCAAAUUUUCUUUCAGUAUUUAUCAAGUUACAGUCGUUUUUUUGUCAUCUGAAAAGUGUUUUAGUUUGAGUACUUAAGGUAGUACUUGCAUAAAAAAUAUUAGAAAGUUCAUUUUAUUUACAAUUGUCGUUGAAUUGUACAUUAAUGAUGCAAAUUACUUAUAGAAAAGCAUUGUAUUGGAUUUUUUAUUUAACAUAUUGAAAUGCAAGUUGAACUUGACAUUACAACAGAUUAUAAAAAUAUUUUUGCAUAUGUGUUUUAGAAAAGGAAGGGAAUUUGAAAACGCACUUUGUUUAGUUGUAACAAUCAUUUAUUUUAUCGAAUGGCGACGCUCGUUCUUUCAAGAACAAAAAAAGUUUCUGUCCCAUGAUCACAAACGCAUGGCCGAAUGUAUUUUUUUCGAUUUUCUUCGUGCGCUGCUUUUUUUAUUUUUUUCCUGUACAAAAGAUAUUCCAUUCGCAGGGCCGUAUUUUCUGGGCGCAAAGUAUGGCGCACCCGAAAUUCGGACUGAUUCCUAACCUCUGAGAAGUCGCACUUUUACUUUACAAUCAAUAAAAAUCAGUUAUUUGUAGAGUUCAAAUUCGUGAAAGAAAUACCUUAAUCGACAUUUUAUCAAAGCAGAAGCCUGCGUCAUUUCUAUAUCGAGUUAACUGUAAUAAUCAAGUUUGAACGUAUUCGCAAUGAUCAGUGAAAAAAAUAUGGUGCACAAAUGUUAUUGCAUCGAAUGAGCACAGAAAAUGUCGCAUUUCACUAAAUCGAAUAAUUUGUUGGCUGAUAUUAAACAAAAUUCAAGUCAAUUUCGAAAAUAAACUUCAACUGCGAGAGGAUUUUGUCAACAUUUUUGCAGCCACAUCUCAUCGUAUUUUUUCAACUUGAUUUACAUAUCUCGUUACAGAAAAAAUCAUUGUCGAAUAACUCGAGAUUGCACGAUUUCGAGGUCACUCAACACACCAAAUUGACGCGUCCGCCCCACGAAGGCGAAAGUGCGACGUAUA